CACGUGUACGCUUCUUUCUUGAAAUCUAAUGGAAUAGUGCUGCUUUGUAGUUUUAUUGAAGUCAAAAAGAGACCAAAAAUUAGGAAAAACUUUGAAUUAGAAAGAAUGUGAAUUUGCAUUUAUGGAGUCUUGCGUGAUGUGAAAUGGUUUAAAAAAGAUUGACAUGAGUCUCUCACAUUUGACUUAAAAAUGAUUGACAUGAGUCUCUCACAUUUGACUUUGGGAAUGUAAAAGAUGACCAUAAUAUAAAGGGAAGAGCAACAUACGACGUCAAGAUGAAACUAAAUGGAUGUAACUACAUUGCUAGCAUGGGAAAAAAAAAUUAAAGCUUGCCAAUAAACAAUUCAAGUUACAAUUUUACAUCAUAGUUGCAAAUUAUCCUUCCAGUAACAAGCAUCUUUCAAAAUGUUCCUUCUGGUUCUGAAUAUGUUGAUAUCUGUACCAUGGGUCUUUCCGGUGUCUCUAAAGGAGUUUGGAACUACGUUUAUGUUAAAAUUUGAAUAUAUAACAGCAUUAUUGUAUAUAAACAUUACAAAAUGUUAUCAUUCUACAGUUUCUAGAGUGAGAAAGAUCUAGGAAAUAUCAUAUUAAAUUAUUAACCCUGGAUUAGAAACAAUAUUAAUUAGGGAUAUACCUGCAUUGUCAAGCUAGCCCUGAUACCUUGGGAGUGGCAAUUUCUUUAUCCCCAUUCUUUUCCAUUACUUGUGAUUACCCCCGUAUCUUUCUCUAAAGGUGCUUUGCCUAUCAUAUAUUUAAAUCAACAAUAUCAGACUACAUACCAUAGCAUAAUGUUUCCACGACUUUCAUGUAAGCAUCAAGACUGCUAAACCUUUAUAAUCACUUUUAAAGCCAUCAUCAUUUAUUCUCUUGUAGUAAGUAUUAGAGGUUUAACAUCAAGAAUGCAAAUUAGUUAAACAUAUUUUUCUUAAGUCUAAUAUUUGAGAAUUCUUUUUAUACCAAGUAUUAUAUGAAACUUUUAGUAACUCGGCACCCAAAACAAAUUCAAGAGCUACUCUAUUCAUCGUGUGCAUAAUAAUUUUUUUAUUGUCCAUCAUAGGAACAUAUAACAGAAGGGAGUAUGCAUAAUUCAUAAAAAAUAAACUUCAAAUUCAUGCUUAAUGGAAAAUGUCUCUCUGUACACCACCUAGGAACACUAUGCAACACUUAUACCUAUUUUUUUAAUAAUUUUGAACAUAAUUGUAGAAAUAUGUAUUUGUAAUUGGAACGCAAAGUAAUAGGAAAUAUGAAGUACCUUUCCAUAUGGAAAUGAUCAACAGACAAAAACAAUAGUUCAUCUUCAACGGUGAGAGUGAGAAAAAACAUAAUCCAGACUCCAUGGGCCAAAAAGUAUACCAGUGAUCUUCUUAAAUACUAAAGGACAAGCACAAUAAAAAGCUUCAAUAUUUUGAAAGGUUCUUGUUUUCUAAAAUAAAAUCAUGUGUCUCACUAAGGCAUUUCAUCGAAUAAGUUAAGUGCAAGUUCAAACAUGAACGACUUGUGAAAACAUACCUUUAGUAAAUGUGAUGCUUUAAUGAAGACAACGAUGCUUCAAAUCCUUCGCCAUUAAUCUCAAACCUCUUCCAAGAAAAAGAAAUUUGUCAAAAAUCAAUUGUAAUAAAAGAAGAGAAGCAAGAACAUCAGAAGUAAUAUGCCCUCAACCAAAAAAUUGAUAUGCACCGAUUUUAACAUAGCCUUCUUCGUCUCCAUCAAUUUUCUAGGGCUUUUCAUGAAGCAUUGCUCGACAGGGCAGGUACACCACCGCCAAACAUGGUGGGAACUUUUUUCUGGCUGCUUCAUCUAUGGUAUGGAUUUAAGGCAGCGGUGGUAUGUAAAAUUUGGACAAAGUGAUAGACAUAAUGGAGGCCAGCAUACUUCCAAUGGAUGUUGAGCCCUCACCCAUCUUCAUUUUUUUUCCAUUAAUUCUAUUUUAUUUUCUACUUCACUUUUUUCAUUGUUUUAUCUCUAAUCCUAUUUUAUUUUCUACUUCACCUUUUUUUACCCUAAAAAAUAUAUUUUUGGAAUAUUCCAUUUUUAUUACUUAUAUAUAUAUAUUGUCAAAUACAUCUCUCUACUAAUUAAAUUUUAUAUUUAUGAUUAAUUAAUAUAAUUU
rnacentral:lncRNA from 1 species